AACGCACGAGACCUGCGGACCUGCGGAGGGAUCAUUAUCGAGGCAUCCCGCUUUCUACCAGCGGACCUCCUAUCUCCUGACGUUAGUACCGUUGUUGCUUUGGCAGAUACAGGUGGUCUCAUAUCGCCCGUCCUGCCAGAGGUUCCCUAACUCUUAGUAUUGUGUCGUCCGAUUAACUAUAUAAUUCUUAAAAAACUUUCAGCAACGGAUCUCU
rnacentral:misc_RNA from 1 species